CGACAGAACUAGUGGAUGAGAUUCUUCACAGCAUCUUUUUUUUGGGGAAAUUAACAAUCCAAGGAUUUCUCCUGGAGAGAUUUUUGCUAAUGAUGCUGACCUGCUUGAUUACUUACAGAAAGUCUAUCCGCAGCCUUUCAGACUUUAUUCCUCUCGUCUACCAAGACGGAGUCCAUUUUCAUGUGUGCUGGACAUGGUUGUUCAUAAGGAAGGUCAAGAAAAUGAGGAAGCUAUUAGAAAUACCCUGCAGCAACUCAUCAAUCCUUUGGUGAGAGAAACUCGCAAACCGAGGUUGAGUUCCACCACAAUCUGCAUCUCUGCUGGCACCACAGAUUCAGAGAGACACUAUGGAGUCUCCAUGUCCACCACUGGUCGUCCUGCAGGCCGAAUCAUGAUUGCUGCAUCCUGCCUUAACUUCUGGGAGGAACAUGAAGCCGAUGCAGUGAUGAGCUACCAUCCUGUAGAAGAUAAUACGACAGACUUUAAUAUAACCAUCCAACUUCCUGAAGGUGUCAGAUGUAACGCCUUUGACCUUAUAGACGGAACAGUAAAAAGUCCCUGCCGUUUUUGUAGUGAGAUGUUUGGCUUGAGACAGCCUGCAGAUGCACAGGAGCCACGUUGGAAUUAUGGCAACUGCGCUGAAGCUGAAAGUUUGAGUAACUUGCUUAGAGAGGAAGAAGUUAGAGAGCGAGUCCAAAGAAUUGGAAACUGGACAGAAGAAAACCAGGAAAGGGUUAGAGAUGAUGUUAGGAAUCAGCUUCGAAGAUACCUGGAGUGGGUUGACUUUGCAUGGGACAACCAGUUCUACACUGCACAAAGAGCAGCAGCUUAAGAUACUCUGUGAAUUGAAUGCUGCUACAUGUAAAAGAUGAAGAGCAGAUACUAACAAUGACUCAACUGUAAAGUCGCAAACAUCUGAGAAAUGUCAACAGUUGGGAAUGGGAAAUCAUUUUUAAUCUUUUCUGCAAAAUUUCAAAGCAUAAAUUUUAUUUGGAAAACAAUUAUUGUGGUUAAAAAUGUCAUUUAUUGUGCAUUCCAGGCUGUUGGAAUAAUUUUAAGGCUUAUUAUGCUUUAUUUGUUUUACAUUGUCUUAUAUUAUCAUCUUUUUAUUUACAUUUUAAUGGUGCGCUUUAAGAGUUUUGAAGUGUUUGCAGAAAAGGAAGCUGUGAGAAGCAGCCUGCUGAGGAGUGGAAAGGAGAGUACCAUGAAUGAGACGUUCUGGAGCUCUUUAUCCAGAUGAACUGAAAACUGAUUUUCUUAUCUUAUGAAAUAUGCUUUUGAAGGUUGUAUAGUUAAGUUCUGUGCAUUUGAGUGUGCAGCUGUGCUUUACUCCCCAUACCUUUAGAGCUGCACGCUGUGAUGUAACAAGGGCGUUCCUAAUUAUAAUAAAAGCAGGAAGGGGGCUCAGUUGAAGCUUCAGAACAUAGGCCAAAAUCUGUCACUGGGUUUUGACUGUGUCCUCCCUGCAGGUAAAACUGAAUUCUGACUCUUGUUCUCUUCUUUGGGUCUGUUUUCAGGUAUUGAAACCUAACACAUACUUAGCCUCUCAUUAUGGCAAAUCAGUUGAAACGGCCAUGUCUCUCUGAGCCACAUUUAUCUUUUUGCUUUGUGGUUCUUCACUGCAUAAUCAAGAUGUGUCUCUGCACUGUUACUUAUAUUUUGUACACUGUGUCUCUAGUUAUCUUUUCAUGUAUUUCCUUUGAUUUAUUCUGUCCUAAAGCACUUUGGAACAAUGUUAUUGUAGGAAGAACUUUGUUGGUUAGUAAUAACUAUUUCUGUGGCAAAGUCAUGCAUAUUUAUGAAAAUCCAAUAAAAGCUUUACGAUUCAGGUCUUUGGUCUCA